CUCGCAAGUCCACAGUGUGUUAGCCACUACUGCGCAGGCCCAGCAAGAGGAAGUUUUUCCCUUGCCCCACAACAGCGCAGCCAAUGAGAGGCAGCCACAGCCCAGCCAAUGAGAAGCCACCACACCUGGCACGGCCGAGCUGCCUGCUCUGGACCCUUUGAGAGGAAAUCGGCUCCAGAAACCAGAUGAUCACAGUCUUGCUGUGUUUCACAGAGCAUGUUCCGGUUCCGUUGAUGUCUUCCCCAUUACCUCCCCUGCUGUGUUUGACCUUCAGCCCCUCACUGUGAAGGAUUCAGUUAGCGGCCAUGUGCCGUUGCUAACAAGAUACUUCAACUGUGUGCUGUUUGAGUCUCCUACCGAAGAGAGGUAGGUUGGCGCGUGCGUGUUUUCCUUUUUGCCUAAAAAAAAAAAAAAAAAAAAAAAAAAGCAAAAAAAAAAAAACCCCACAUACUGGAGAGAUUGAAAGAAAAAAUAAACAUGAUUCCAGAGAUCCUGCUUUUUAAUCAUGACAUGAACUCUGGCGGUCCUUAAGGAAACCAUUCGAUGACACAAAUGUCAGUGGACAUCUCUCUCUCUGCUCAGGACCCCAUCAAUGGGGUGGGUGUGGACAUAACCGGGAUGCACGGAGGAGCUCCUUUCUGGGGAACAAACAGUUUUGUAUUAUGAUUGGGGUGUUGGCUACAGGAAUCGAUGCGGGCGACAGAAAGGAAAAGACUCUCACCAGCCAGCACACAUAAAAGCUGAUAAAAUCCAAAUCAGGAAUAGAGUCUAGUUAAUUGCACCGCACUCGUGUCAGUUUCCUGAUUUUGACAAUGGCCCAGGGUUAGGUAAGAUGUGAGCUGGAUGGAGGGUACCUGGGAUUCUCUGUACUAUUUUCACAACUUCCUGUGUGUCCAGAGUUAAAGUUUUUGUGUGUUUUUGUUUUCUGUGUGCGUUGAAACACCACAAACCUGUUAGGCAAGUGACAAACCGGGAAAGAGCUUCGACCAGCAGGACACAGGCUUUCGUGUCCAUCACGUGUGGGUUCCUGCCAGUUAGGGAAGACAGGAGCUUUUCCAGCAGGAAAGCAAGCCAGCCCGUUCACAGGCAACCUGAGACAGUACCGGGCACCCUCCCGCUGACGGAUCCCCCGCCAGGGGUGGAGAAGAGUGGCCCACGUAUCAGCCUGGAAGAAACAGAUGCCUCUCCCUGCCACCUCCGCGACCGAGACUUUCGGCCAGCGGACACUUGUCCUCUUGUAGCUGGCCUUCACCCAUCCCUCCUUCCUGUUGGCACCCCACUGACACUUCCGGGCUUCACUGUCAGGGUGGGAAUGUGACGGACUGGAGUUUGGCCAAUGGAUGCUGUCUCACGACAAUCUUGAGUACUGACUGUGGGAGGCAGGGGUAGAAGUUUCCGACGAAGAGUUCCUGCUUUGAGACAAAUGCAGGCUUCCAGCUGUGAAGGCUCCUGGAGCACGCCCAGUGUCCUUUCCCACCGGUUCUGUCAUUCUGUGACUUGUGACCAGUCCCCUCCUUCACUUUAAGUGAAAGACUACUUGUUCCCAGGACUGAUUUUUUAAAACAUUCACUGGCUGAGCUUCCUAUCUGCAAAACACACGGAGAUCGACAACACAGUUCAGUUUGCAACAUGGAUGACAAGGGACUGAUUUCCUUCAUAUAUAAAGAGUGUCCACACAUCGUUGAGGCCAACAGAUCAAAAGAAAGGUGGGCAAAUGGUCACUAGUAAACAAGUAUCUUAAAACAUGAAAAUAUUGCCGCAGAUAAAAUUACAGUGAGAUGCCACACCUCACGGGCAAAGAUAAAAAAAUAAUUGAUAACAGGUGGUUCUGGUGAAGAAAUGGAGACACGGGCGUACUUCACCCUUAUUGGAAAAGUUUACAUUGAGGUGUUCUCUUUGGAAGGCAAUUCGGCAAUACUCGAAACUAAAAUCGAAUAGGCCUUUGGAUAGUUCUAGGAAGUUACCCCUAUAAACUCAAACAUAUGCCCAAAAUAUGUACAAGACUGUUAACAGUUAUCACUUAUACUAAGGGCUGGCCAACCACAGCCUGGGGGUUAAAUCUGGUCAGCUGCCUGGUUUCUUAAAGAAGGUUUUAUUGGCACGCAGCCAAACCCACACAUUUACAUAUUGUCUGUGGCUGCUCUGGGGCCAGGAGAGCAGAGUAGUUGUACAGUCUGGCCUGCAAAGCCGAAAAUAUUUACUCUCUGGCCUUUUACAGAGGAAGUCUGUUGACCCCUGAUUUAUACGGAUUCAAAAAGCCCGGAAUAACCUGUUAUCCCUUGAUAGGUGCCUGGCAAAAUAAAUUACGGCACGUUCAUAAGCAGGAAUAGAAUACAGGUAUUAAAAAAUAGAGACUGGGAUGUGAUUCCCUGUCUGGAGCGAAGGCAUCUUUCCUCUAUAUAUGCUUUUGCACUCAAGUUUUAUUAUACUUUUUAAGCCAUUAAAAAUAAAAGCGGGGCUUCCCGAAGUAUGGAGAGGGUGAAGGCGCAAGGAGAGGUCAUCCUGCUGUUAGGAACUCGUGUACCAGAGUGCCACCUGCUCAGGCAGCCUCCCCUCUCCCUGGGUCAGGGCUGCUGGGUCAGACGUGAGGGGAACGGCCUGCCCUCCUGGGUCGGCAUUUCCCGAUGCCCCAACCGCGGAGUCAAGCCUCUGGACAAACACAGGCACCAGAGGAAGUGAAGGCGGCCAGGGCAGCGUGACCGCCAGAAGGACUUGCACCUUGGCUGACGCUGUGGCCCCGAGGAAGCCUGUGGGCUGGACCAGGCCGGCCGUGACAUCCUGGGCUGGGUCCCUAGGCGACUUGCAGUGGCUGCAUCAGGACCCCGCGGCUGUCCUCGACGGGACCAGUCUGAUGGGGGCGGGGCACCCUCCAGCCCGGGCAGCUCGCGGCUCCGUCGCCUCCCGGGACCCGCCCAGGCAGAGGCACAGCCAUCAGCGGCCCCGGGGCUGGGAAGGAACCUUAGGCAGGUGGCAGCGCGUCCGUCCGGAAUUGUUUAAUGAGUCUACUUCUUACACGCAUAAUUAUAAAAGAAUAAGAAUCGACAAAAAUAUUUUCUUUCCAUAA